GCGGAUUGAUUUUGCGAUCACGUAUGGUUAUUCAGUGGUUGCGGGGGCGGCAGCGGAGACGCAUGACACCGAGCUCCGUCCCCUGUGAUCCUCCAUUUCAGUGUGUUGAUUAAGUGUACUGUCACUGAGUGGUAGAUCUCAGCUCGAUCACCCCACGGGGGAGGCGCCGAGCGCAGCAACGCGAUGCAACACGUUGCGCUCUAGAUGCUCUGAGGUGGCGUAAGAAGGAAGAAGUAAGAAGUAAGAAGGAAAUGGUCAUAUGAGUCAUAUGGUCAUAUAGGGUAGGGCACGUUCAGGUCUCAAGAUUAUAAACAGCAAAAUAAAUAAAUCUUGAAAAGAAAUGUGUACAUCUUCAGUAAACUCAUCAGGGUGGAUCUGGAGCCAAUACUAGCGCAAGAGAUGUGCAUACACAGGAUUAUGGAUUGGCACCCUGUCCAGGGUGUACCCCGCCUUGUGCCCGAUGCUCCCUGGGAUAGGCUCCAUGUUCCCCCGUGACCCUGAAGAAGGAUAAGCAGUAUAGAAGAUGGAUGGAUGGAUACACAGGAUUGUUGAUGUUUUCUUUUAUCAUACUUGCACAAUAGCCUUUAAGAAGAACAAAAGAAGAAAAUACUGAAAUUAUUCUCAUGCCUGGAUCAGGAAGCUGUCGCAAGGUUGUGAUGGACUUUAAGAGGAGACGUGGGCAGAGAUUUUGCAGCAAGUAGAUGGCAAGAAGGUCCUUUUUACCAAAAUUGAAUUCUGUCCUGGAUCAAAGGUCAGCUUUUCCUCUUCUCACCCUUGUCUGGGUGAGAUUGCUCUGCGAGUUGGCAUAUACAGUUCACGGCUGUGUACUGGGGCUGAUGCAAGCGGCAGUGAGAUUGAAGCUUUUCAUAUGGAAGGGAGUAGGACUCUUGUCUUCCUAGAUGGCAGGGAGAUUUGUAAGAAGAUGAAUCAACUCCAAUUCUUACAUCUGCCAAAAUGUU
ensembl:lncRNA